rnacentral:tRNA from 1 species
GGGGGAAUAGUUUAACGGCAAAAUACCAGGUUGUCGACCUGUGAGAUUGCGGGUUCGAAUCCCGUUUCUCCCG